rnacentral:misc_RNA from 1 species
CCGAUGCGCGAGUUGUCUGCAGAAAUGUAGUCUCAAAGCAGUCGGCAAACUGUUGAACGCGAAAGUCGCUCGUUUGUUAUCCCAAAUGAACGGCAAACAUAUCCCAAACGGAGUGUGAGUCCAGUGAUCAUAGGCGCCGACACACAGUGUGUCAGUGCGAGAGCGACCGAUUGCUAUUGUGUCUCUGCUCCGGUGUUUGUCUAACUGCAGUCAUUGGCUGGUGUCUAGUCCAUGUGUCGCCUACGCUCACUGUUGUGAGCGAGUACUUUGCGUGAGCAGAGUCAGGCUAUGGUGUGCUGGUGUGUUGACUCGUUUGACUACCGGUGCUAGACUUAAUUAUUGCGAUCGCUCUGGGAGAGUGUGAGCAAUGCCGCAAUGACUUGCGCUGUGCGUAUGCGCUCAUACCGUUGAGUUGAGCAUUGAAUUGCGAAACCAUGUGCCUUGAAGUGAAAACUUCCCAAAACAAACAAACAAACAUAUAGUA